rfam:Triticum aestivum genome assembly, contig: Triticum_aestivum_CS42_TGACv1_scaffold_116017_2AS
AAAGUACUCCCUCCGUCCCAAAAUUCUUGUCUUAGAUUUGUCUAGAUACGGAUGUAUCAAAUCACAUUAGAUACAUCCGUAUCUAGACAAAUCUAAGACAAGAAAUUUGGGAUAGAGGGAGUAGUUG